CCUACGGGCGGCAGCAGUAGGGAAUAUUGCUCAAUGGGGGAAACCCUGAAGCAGCAACGCCGCGUGGAGGAUGAAGGUUUUCGGAUUGGAAACUCCUUUUGUUAGAGAAGAUAAUGACGGUAUCUAACGAAUAAGCACCGGCUAACUCCGUGACAGCAGCCGCGGUAAUACGGAGGGUGGAAGCGUUACUCGGAAUCACUGGGCGUAAAGAGCGCGUAGGCGGGAUAGCAAGUCAGAUGUGAAAUCCUAUGGCUUAACCAUAGAACUGCAUUUGAAACUGUUAUUCUAGAGUAUGGGAGAGGUAGGUGGAAUUCUUGGUGUAGGGGUAAAAUCCGUAGAUAUCAAGAGGAAUACUCAUUGCGAAGGCGACCUGCUAGAACAUAACUGACGCUGAUGCGCGAAAGCGUGGGGAGCAAACAGGAUUAGAUACCCUUGUAGUC
rnacentral:rRNA from 1 species